rnacentral:rRNA from 1 species
CCUCGAUGUCGGCUCAUCACAUCCUGGGGCUGAAGUAGGUCCCAAGGGUAUGGCUGUUCGCCAUUUAAAGUGGUACGCGAGCUGGGUUUAGAACGUCGUGAGACAGUUCGGUCCCUAUCUGCCGUGGGCGCUGGAGAAUUGAGGGGGGCUGCUCCUAGUACGAGAGGACCGGAGUGGACGCAUCACUGGUGUUCGGGUUGUCAUGCCAAUGGCACUGCCCGGUAGCUAAAUGCGGAAGAGAUAAGUGCUGAAAGCAUCUAAGCACGAAACUUGCCCCGAGAUGAGUUCUCCCUGAGACUAUAAGUCUCCUGAAGGAACGUUGAAGACGACGACGUUGAUAGGCCGGGUGUGUAAGCGCAGCGAUGCGUUGAGCUAACCGGUACUAAUGAACCGUGAGGCUUAACCUUACAACGCCGAAG